UCCAGCAAUGUAAACAUCAUCAAGGAUGAAUCUGUAACACACAGAUGGCAUCCUGAUGAUUGUAUGUGAAUCAAUGCAACAGAAACCCAAUCCUAUUGCAGUAGAGUAAUAACCAACCCAUAUGUUAAAGGAAGGUCAUUUUCCUUCAAACAUAAAUGAUGUUGGAACAAAAAAAAUAGAGAAGUCAAGGAAACCUGAAAUUUGACCAGCUCCCAUCUGGGAAACUGCUGCUUUGGAAAAUCCCUCGAUUCAUGAAAGAUCUGAUGGAAGGUUAUUGGCCUGAAACAUUAACUCACAGAUGCUGCCGGUCCUAGCACACGGAAUGAAAACAAGAAACACAAUAGAAUCAAUGAAAGACCACACCUAACAAGACAGACAAAACAACCAAUGAGCAAUAAAUAUUGAGAAUGUGAGCUGAAGUGUCCUUGAAAGUGAGUACAGAGGUUGUGGGAACUUCAGAGGUACUGUGACUCUAUUAUCUUUUAAAUAACAAUCACUAAAUUAUCUUUGUUGCUUCAUUGUAAUUUGGUCAGUAAAGAUUCUCGAAUAGCACAUUUGGUCCCAAAUGCUGCAUAUCCAAACUCAAUUCAAGUAAGAUCACAGUAAGGGGACAUAUUUUAAUGAAUUAGUAAAUAUAUGUGCUUGUCUAAAAGAGGGCGCAAACUUCUUGUACUUUUCCAGUUGCA